AGAGAGAGACAUGCGCGCAUAUCAAUAAGCGGAGGAAAAGAAACUAACAAGGAUUCCCUUAGUAACGGCGAGUGAAGCGGGAAGAGCUCAAAUUUGAAAUCUUCAAGGUUUUACCUUGACGAAUUGUAGUUUAAAGAAGUGUUUUCUGCUGAAGUUUUGGUAAAAGUUCUUUGGAAUAGGACAUCAUAGAGGGUGAGAAUCCCGUAUUUGACCAUUAUUUUCAGCUUUGUGAUACACUUUCAAAGAGUCGGAUUGUUUGGGAAUGCAGUCCAAAAUGGGUGGUAAUUUCAUCUAAAGCUAAAUAUUGGCGAGAGACCGAUAGCGAACAAGUACCGUGAGGAAAGAUGAAAAGAACUUUGAAAAGAGAGUUAAACAGUACGUGAAAUUGUCAAAAGGGAAGCGUUUGACACCAGUGUUGUUUUCUCGAAAAUCAAUUAAAAAUGGCUCGAUUUUGUAUUGCUGAGACCUUAAAAGCUCACUGUACAUUUUUCGUGUCUUUUUAAUGCACUUUUCGUUUAACAAGUCAACAUCAGUUUCUUUUGUUGUAAAAGGGUCAUUGGAAGGUGGCUUUCUUUUCGGAGAAAGUGUUUAUAGCCUUUGGCCUCUGCAAUCGGAGAGACUGAGGUCUGCAGCGUAGACUCUUCGGGGUUAGAUACAUUUGUGCUAAGUUAUAGCUUUUUAUAGACAACUUGUUGACUAUAAUUAGUCUUGUAGCUUACUCGCUUAUGCUAUUUUACCUACGCUUAGGAUGUUGAGUCGUAGAGCACGCA
rnacentral:rRNA from 1 species